rnacentral:rRNA from 1 species
UACGAAGGGGGCUAGCGUUGCUCGGAAUCACUGGGCGUAAAGGGUGCGUAGGCGGGUCUUUUAAGUCAGGGGUGAAAUCCUGGAGCUCAACUCCAGAACUGCCAUUGAUACUACAGGUCUUGAAUUUUCUGGAGGAUAGCGGAAUAUGUCAUGUAGCGGUGAAAUGACUUAGAUAUGACAUAGAACACCAAUUGCGAAGGCAGCUAUCUACAGGAAUAUUGACACUGAGGCACGAAAGCGUGGGGAUCAAACAGG